rnacentral:rRNA from 1 species
UAGGGAAUUUUCCGCAAUGGGCGAAAGCCUGACGGAGCAACGCCGCGUGAGGGAGGAAGGCCUUCGGGUUGUAAACCUCUUUCGGCAGGGACGAAGUUGACGUGUACCUGCAGAAGAAGCGCCGGCCAACUACGUGCCAGCAGCCGCGGUAAUACGUAGGGCGCGAGCGUUGUCCGGAUUCAUUGGGCGUAAAGAGCUCGUAGGCGGCCUGCCGCGUCUGCCGUGAAAGCCCACGGCUCAACCGUGGGUCUGCGGCGGAUACGGGCGGGCUUGAGGCUGGUAGGGGCAAGCGGAAUUCCUGGUGUAGCGGUGAAAUGCGCAGAUAUCAGGAGGAACACCGGUGGCGAAGGCGGCUUGCUGGGCCAGUCCUGACGCUGAGGAGCGAAAGCGUGGGGAGCGAACAGGAUUAGAUACC